UUCUAACUCCCAACGACAGAUGAUUCGCCCACCUCGGUCUCCCCAAGUACUGGAAUUACAGGCAUGCGCCACCGUGCCCGGCCUAAAGUAGAACGCUUUGGUAUGGUGGUAUAUCAGUGCCUCCUGGGAUAUAUCUAGCAUUCCUAAUAAAAUGUAUCUAGCAUUCCUAAAAAAUUCCUAUCAAUUGUCUGAUUUUAAUGAGAUUAUUAGAGCCCUUCUGGAAUGGUGAUUUAUUUUACCUGCCUAAUUUUUGGUCUUAUGUUGAAUCUAAUGGUCUUGAACUAAAAAAAUUUUUUUAAGUCUAGUAACUUAAUGAGUUUUUUAAUUAAGUGUUUAUAUCAAUGCAUAAUAUUUAUGAUAGCUCUCUCAGGAGUCUUUCUCUUGUGACAAGUUUGAAAUAAAACUUUGUGAAUGUAUCUGAGAAGUUGCCUUAACAAUUAGGAUAAAAUUCUGAGGGAGAAAUGGAAUGGAAAUAUGGAUUCAACAAGAAAAAGGAAUAAUGUAAAUUUCCAAAUCUCAACAAGAAUGCUUAUGUGUUUCGUACAUGGACAACGGUGGUAUCUCUACAUAUUACUCCAUAAAGUACGUCCUUUGUAACCUUUAAAACAUGAUAAGUGGUUUCCAAUGCUUGAGGGUAUGUAGUUUUUCAGAAUCUACUUUGGGCUUUAAAAAUGAGACAGUUGGCCGGACUUGGUGGCUCAUACCUGUAAUCCCAGCACUUUGGGAGGCUGAGGCACGUGGAUUGCCUAAGAUCGGGUGUUCAAAACUAGCUUGGCUAGCCUGUUGAAACCCCGUCUGUACUAAAAAUACAAAAAUUAGCUGGGCAUGGUGGCAGGCACCUGUAAUCUCAGCUACUUGGGAGGCUGAGGCAGGAGAAUCGCUGGAACCCAGGAGGCAGAGUUUGCAGUAAGCGAAGAUCGUGCCAUUGCACUCCAGCCUGGGCAGCAGAGAAAGAGUCCAUCUCAAAAAAAUAAAAAGACAUGGUUAAAGACCACUGGUGCAGAUCUCACAUUGAGCAGAGUAGGACCUCAGCAGGACCUGUAGGGCAGGGACUGGGGUCAGGGUAUUCCUGGGUGAGCCAAAAGGAAUAGGUGCCCAAGGGCUCUGGGUCCUGCAGGAGGCAGGCCUCGUAGUGCUAUCCCUUCGCAUAUACUAGCUCUGUGGGCUGGGACCCAGUCUCUCCUGACCUGUUUCUUUUUGGCCUCCGAAUUUCUUGUCCUCAGAGAAAGAAUAAAACAAGGAUUUAGAAUUCGGGACUUGUUAAGUUGAUUUUGGCCAAGUGUUUUUGAAAACUCUUCCGGGUGUGGCUUCUCUUCAGUGUUUGUGUCUUAGUGACCUCUGACUAUACAGAAGGCAGAAAAACAAUGUCGAGAGAGAGAUCUUUUGAAGACUGUGUGACAGACAGAAAGAGGAAAGAAAAGAGGAGGAAGCAAGAGAAGCAUGAAGGAGGAGCAGAAUAUUCUUUUGGUAGGAAAAUAUUUCCAGAUUGUGUCUGUUUUUUUAAAGAUUCUGUGGGAGGAUAUCCAGGGACACUCCUCAAUUCAAACCUUCGGCGUUCCCUUCCGCAAAUUCGGCUCUGGGAGCUGCCAGUGCUGCAGGACAGGCGUAGGCCCACAUAGGGCUGAAACACACCUAAACUCUCCCUCCCGGGUUUUGGAGAUGAGCUCACCUCUGUUCUGUCAGGCAUCCCGGAAGAACUACAUGCAUUUGGGUCAAUUUGGAUGGAGGAAAUGAAGGAUUAUAGAGGAAGAAAUCACCAUUCCUCUUGUGUGUACUGGCAGGCUCAACCCUGAAUGCACUUUCCUACUUUAAUGUCUGAAGUGUGUUAAUAAAUCACAGUAAAGAAUGGAACAGUAAAAACAAAACCCCAGGAUAAAAGAAAAGGCAACAUGUCCUGUGGACUGAAUCCUGGAACAGUCCUGCUCAGGAGGGAGUAAGGUCCCAUGUUUUCCUGACAUGGGACCAGUGGAGACAGAAGACGGUCUGAUUCUUCUCUGAUUCCUUACAGUUUCAUCAGCAGCCUUGAUCUUCUUCAGAAAGGGAAGCUACCUUUUCUUCUCUUCCAACUAAUGGGGGGUGAGGAGAAGGGAAAAGUAGGGGCAAGGGGAGGGAAAAGAAAAGAGUAGGGAGAGGGAAGGAAAGGAGAAGGGAAGGGAAGGAAAGAAAGAAGAAGAAAAUCAAGGCAUUGCCUCGAUUAUUGAUUUACGGGUUAUAUCCUGUAUAGCUUCAUGGCUCAUCCAGUUCAGUUAGGGCUUCAAGAUGCUGCAUCCGCUGUUACAGAAGAACGGCUCACUUUCCAUGGCCGUCUCCUAUAAUUAUUUUCCUAAUUAGUUCCCUGGUCCUACACAUUAUUUCCCUAAUUCUCACGACAAAAUUAACUCAUACUAGCACCAUAGAUGCCCAAGAAAUCAGGACUGUCUGAACUAUUUUACCUGCCAUAAAUUAUCUUACCUUUAAUUGCCCUCCCAUCCCUAUGUAUUCUGUGCAUAACAGAUGAAGUUAUUAACCCUUCUCUUACCAUCGAAGCAAUUGGCCACCAAUGGUACUGAAGCUAUGAAUACACAGACUAUGAAGAAUUAGGCUUCAAUUCUUAUGUAGUCUCAGCAGCAGACUUAUAGCCAGGAGAACUUUGACUCCUCAAAGGUGAUAACUGAACAACCCUCCAAAUAGAUAUCCCCAUCUAUGCAUUAAUCUCAUCUGAAGACAUUCUGCACUCAUGAACUAUCCUUUCAUUGGGCCUCAAAACAGAUGCAAUCCCUGAAUUACCUGCCUAUGGAGAGAACCUCUGAGCGUUAAGAUGAUGAGCCCAGAUCCUCUCCCUCACUGCUCUGUGUCUGUGUCAGAUGAUUGCUCAUGGGAGUUGUUAGUUAUUAGUCACUCUGCUAUUUCAGACAUUUUUUUGCCUUUUAAACGUCAGUUCAGGUUGACCACAGGGAAACUCUGUUACGACCAAAGGGUCAAGCUCCUGAGUGCCGGCACUGGCCCCCUUUCCUCCUGUCCCCACCCCUCUCCCUCUUGUCCUUGUUCCUGACUUCUCUUUAGCGGAGAGGUGUACAAAACAAAUUCAGGGCUCAUUUCAUCUCUGUACAUCCUUGCUGCUCUCUCUUCCUUAAACAAGACCUUCUUCUCCCCUUUUCUUAGAACUGUAUUUGGUGUGACAACAGUUUGAAAAGCGCCACCCAUCCUCUCUGAGACCACAAGCAGCGCUGAAGGCAGUGAACCAAGACUUACAAACAAGGGUGUAGACCAGAGAACACGCUGGGGCCAGAGGAGGAGAAAGCAAGAUCUAAGCAGCACAGUUUCAAGUGCGAGGGGAGCAGAAAGCAGCCAGCUCUAAAAAAAAAAAAAAAAAGAAGAAGAAGAAGAGGCAAAACCCAGAACUCAAACCUCAUGAAACUAUCACAAGUUUCAAGCCUUUAAAAGGUGUUUUUACUGCAGAUUUUAGAGACUUAUCACCUCAUCAACGGUUAUGAACCCAAAUCCUUGCAAACUGAGCAAUAGAGUCAGAUUGGUCUCUCAGUCUCUGCAUGUGAAGGGUCUCUGGGCUUUUCAGGACACCUUUAGGGUCAGGUUUUGUGAAAUAGGUUGAGCCAGCUUUCUGGGGGCUGUAAGCAACCCUGGAGAAAAUGGACAGAGGGAAAUAAAGGCAUGCCAGUGUGCUUUUCCCAGUGGGGACCUGGCAGCGGCCAAAGCAGGAGAAGUAUUAGAUUCCCAUCUUUUCAUAUCAUGGAAGCCCAUGAUGGCGAUGGGGUGCAGGGCUGACUAACCAUCUUGAGGUCAAGAGGCGGCCCCUCAGGGAUCUGAAGCUGUUUAGCAAGAGCUCAGGAGGGCCCAUCUCCUUGUCCCUCAGGGAGAGCCCCUGGUGCUAUAGCCCACCCCCUGGAAGGGGCAGCCCUUGGAGAAAUGUUAGAAUGCUGGGUGAAUUAUUUUCUUCUGAAAUUUCAUCCAAAGUUUCAACAAGGCACCCAAUAGAAGAGUUGUUAAGUACUGUGAGUGGGUGUGGUGGAGGAAGCAGAGAGGGGAAGGGGCAGCUCCGCUCUCACUGUAUCUACUGCUCAUCCUAGAGAUGACCUAAUGUCAAAAACUUUGCAAAUGCCACCAGCUGCCUGUUGCAUCCACGUGGUUCAGUCGUUGCUAUUUACAGAGUAGUAUAAAUGCCCGGUGCUACUGUGACCUAGGGUGCUGAGUACCAAUGUUCCUGGAAGUGCCCCUAGUAGUAUUUCUUUCAUUAGCUGGUAGUUUAUUAAAAACUUCAUGCAAGGGUAACACGGUAUUGCUGAUUGUAGGUAUUAUCUGAUGAUGAUAAUCCUGUCGAGUACUUGUUGGGCCAGAUCACUUCGUGAGGGCAGAAGGUUGGUAACACUUGUCUUAAAUGCAAGAUUCUUUCUCUUUUCAUCCACCUUCUCCCUCCUAUUCAGCAAUCCUUUCUUCACCCUUGGAAACAUUUGUGCUCUGCAUAUGCUCUUGCACAAUCCUGGGGUCUCAUGGUUUACUUUAUGAUGACAAUAUUAAUGUCAACAAAGCCACAUUUUCCCUAAGACACUUGGGAGUAUGUGUGGCUUAUCCUUCUGUUUUUCUUACGAAGUAAAAUGGCACUCAGUGUGUCUGUCCUCACUUUACUGAUAUGGAGAUUAAGGACAAGGAAUCUAGGCGAACGGGCAGUAGGGCACGUGAAACGUGGCAGGGUCUCCGGAGAAAGGGAACACACUUUCAAAGAGCCAGUGAGUCAAACUUGUGGGAACCCAUGCCAGAAAGUUCUUACGGGGAAGGCUGAACUGUUCCAUCUAAAAGAAAAGAACAUAUAUUCGUUUAAACAAGCCCUGAAGUGCAGCUAUCUAACAGGCUACGUAGAUGGGGUUGGGCGCAAAGGGUUUGCUGCGUUGCUGCUGAUUUCUCAAGUCUUUCAUUUUCUUUGCUGACCUCUGCAGUCCCACAGAACACAGUCCAUGCAUUAGACUUGCAGCCAUAGGAUCUGGGUCUUGUGUAUUAGUUUUGAAGGCAGCAUGCCCUGCUAGACUGCAAUAUCCUAGAAGACAAAGGUCAACCAAGACCUUCGCAUGAGGCCUGAUGGGAAUCAGUGUUUCACAGACAUUUUUUAAAUGAAUGAUUUGAUUGAUUUCCAGUAGUUCUCUAGGCAAGAGCGAUCAGAGACUUUAGAAGUUGGUAUCAACAUGGAAGCGGCAGAAUGACACCUGAGAGAGUGGUGGGUCGUCACCAGGUCACAGCUGUCAGGAUGAUUGGAACACCCCUUUGCUGUACAGUGACCUUUGUUUUACCUCCCACUAUUAGGCAGAGGAACCGUCAUCACACAGCCUGAUUACGGUUUUUAUGCUCAGGAGAACUUGUGCUGUCUUCCAAGAGCUGCAGCUCCCACGUUUUGGCGUCUGCACCACAGAAAGACCGUGUGAGGACAUAGUGAGAAGGCAGCUUCCUGCAAGCCGGAAGAGAGCUCUCACCAGAAACCAAACCAGCGGAGAUGGGGUUCAGGCCAUGCUACUGCACAAUGUGGUACCUUGGCAUUUGAGAAAACAGGAGAAGCAGGAAGCUACAGUAGUCAUUGUCUUCAGAUGCAGACACCCUGGCAGUUAUCGUCCUUGGCAGAAUGUUGACUGGGGAAGGGAGAACUCUAACGUCGUAGCCCAAGAUGAGAAGCACAGCAGGGCAGGUGAGGACUGGUGACGAGUGACCGCCACCACAACACAGGAGUCACACCUAGUGAGCUGUGUAGACCCAGUCUCUCUCUCUUUUUUUAGACAGGGUCUCACUCUGUUGCUCAGCUUGGAUGCAGUGAUGUGAUCAUGGCCCAGUGCAGCC